rnacentral:rRNA from 1 species
UUGAACGCUGGCGGCAGGCCUAACCCCUGCAAGUCGCACGGUAACAGGAAUCAGCUUGCUGAUUUGCUGACGAGUGGCGGACGGGUGAGUAAUGUCUGGGAAACUGCCUGAUGGAGGGGGAUAACUACUGGAAACGGUAGCUAAUACCGCAUAACGUCGCAAGACCAAAGAGGGGGACCUUCGGGCCUCUUGCCAUCGGAUGUGCCCAGAUGGGAUUAGCUAGUAGGUGGGGUAAAGGCUCACCUAGGCGACGAUCCCUAGCUGGUCUGAGAGGAUGACCAGCCACACUGGAACUGAGACACGGUCCAGACUCCUACGGGAGGCAGCAGUGGGGAAUAUUGCACAAUGGGCGCAAGCCUGAUGCAGCCAUGCCGCGUGUAUGAAGAAGGCCUUCGGGUUGUAAAGUACUUUCAGCGGGGAGGAAGGGAGUAAAGUUAAUACCUUUGCUCAUUGACGUUACCCGCAGAAGAAGCACCGGCUAACUCCGUG